UCACAACCACCUGCAAAAACAACAAUCAUUCAAUAUUCCUCAUCACUUCACUGAAACCCACAACUCUGUUAUCAACCAUCUUCUUCUUCAAUCAAAUCCCUCUGCAUCUUCUUCUUGCAAUUGAACUCAAAAAUUGAAGAUAUCCUUGUUUUUAUUUGUUAGGAAGAGAGAGAGAGAGAGAGAUGAUAGGGUACAUGAAUAAAAUAGAAGUUUCACACAAUCAUUUUGCGUUCCGUGAGGAAUAUUCAUGGGGAAGGGUCAAGGGUAAAGGCACGUGAAAGAUCUUGGAACUUGACAAAACUGCGCGAUACAGACAAAUUAUGGAGAAUCCUUGUCUUCUUCCUCGCUCCACCUGUGAUUUAUCUGGUGUUUGAUGAAAUAGCCUUGGCGCUUUCUCUUGAUCUAGACUUCGCUCCCUCUUCUGCUUGAUCUUUGGUACAGGAACAGACAGUGCUUUCUUAUCAGCAGGCUCGAACCGGCGAGGCUCAAUGAGUUUGGAGUACUUGGGGUAGUUGAUGAGUCUGGUAUCAUCUAGAAAAAUGCUUCUGUCAGGCCUUCUAGGCACUACCACCGACCGAUGGUCGCCGGUGCUCAUGCACACCGCCGUUGAUGCCUGAGAGUGGCACAUGAAACCCCUCCUCAUUUUCCUGUUAGUGCUCUUCAGGCUCAUGAUAACGUCCCAGAGAGAUACAGAUAGAGAGCCUCUAAAGGAGAAGAUGAAUAGGCGAAAUGGUGAACAGAAGGUGUAGACUUAUAUCACAAGUUUUUUGAAGGUUCACUGCUCUGGUGUAUGGUCGUAGCUGGUGAAACAGAAACAGAGCUAGUUACUAGUUAGGACCAAUGGCAUUAUAUUUUGAUCAUGCAUGAAGUAACAGAUAUAUGAAGCAUUCAUGGGGGUAGGAGAUAAUGACAAAGGAACUUUUUGCUGUGACCUAGAAAUCCAGCAUUUCAGUUGAAGUACAGCACUAGACUUUAAUGCAGCACCCGCUUUCUAUAUUGUGUCCUUAACUUUGAUCAGGAUUCAAGAACCUCCAUACUGAAGCUUCGACUAGGUCUAGAUCGCAGGUAAGAGAUUUGGAAAGGAAGAUCUGGAAAUGCAAGGCUAUAGAUAUAGCCACAACAUCAUUCAGGUGGAGAGGUGUUGGAUACAAGCUAUCAUUCUUCUGGCACAAGUCAAGGGCUUGACAUGUCAUGAUUAGAUUUAGCCUAGAAGAAGAAAAACUCCUCCUUAUAUAGGAGUUAUGAAAAUUAUUGAUGCUUGCGUAAAGUAGAGAGGAUUUGAUCUAAUAUGGUCUUGUAUUUGAAUCUUUUAAAUUGGAAAAGAUUUCAUGUUGGGAGAGUCAUCCUCAUUUAGAGUCA